AAGGGAGGAGGAACUCGAGUCCCCAUGGGUCCCUCCAGAUCCUCUCCCACAGGUGGGGGGCACCUGCCCACAGACCUCAGGGAGCCGCCUCGCUGGCCUCACACCCCCACCUGCACAGCAGGGCGUUCCAGGGACACCGAGGCUGGGUUCCAGGGCUUCUCCCAGGGCUGCCCUGAGAGCCAGUGGCCGCUGUGCACGAGGGGCGCUUGACAUGGAGGCGGCUGAGGCUCCGGCAAAGCUCAGCGGGCCGGCCCGGGACACCCUGAGGGCCCCGCUGUCCUCGGGGUCGUGACCCAGCCCCAGGGGCCAAGUCAGGCUGGCAGCAAGACCUCCCGCCUGGCAAAGAGACCCAGGAUGGCAGGGGGAUGGCUUCCACCUCGACCCCACCUUCAUCUCCAGGGGAUGUCCAGGCAGGCAGCUCUGAUAUUGGGGUGCCGGCAGCCGGCUCCUAGGAAGGGGAGGCCCGUGGUCUGCAGGGUCUCCCAGAAAGCCAAGGCUCCCAAUACAGUGGUGAGGACCACCGAGGCCGCCCAAUGGGCUGAGGGGAGGGAAGCCCAACACAGGGAUGGAAAGAACGGGAAGACAGAGAGGUGAGGUAUAAAAAUCUGUAUUUAUAUUACAAAGACAGAACGGUACAGCACAGUCCCUCCCGGUGAACAGGCUGGGGGGGCAGCCCUCUCUUUCCAGCGAAGAUCUUGUUACAUGCCCACCCGGCCAGCACCAGGAAAGCGAGCUCGGGCGCUGUGCUUCGGAGGCCCGCCCUGCGUGGGGAGGGCCAGGGCUGCACGGAGCGGGGUGCCUUCCUCGGGCCUCCCCAGCCAGCGGGGCCUGUGCUGAGGCCUGGGGGCUGCCUCACACCGUGAGGGUGUGGACCCAAACCCAAGCUCGGGCUUCCAGGAUCUCGGCCACCAAGAGCCACGUGGGCGUGAGGGCACAUGAGGGAAGGUGCAGCCCAACCCCCCCCCCCCCCCCCGGGGCCCUGUUCUGGUCCUGGUUGCUUUCUACAGACCCCAUGACACUCAGGUUUGCUCUUAACGACCCUCUGGUCCCCCUGGCCACCAGUGCAGGUGGCUGGGGGAACCAUGGCCUGCAAAGUCACAGGCUGAGCAUCUCCCAGCCAGGAAGGUCAGCUGAGGAGAACUCUGCAGGCCAGAGGAGAACCUCUCCCGGGGGUUGGGGGUGA
rnacentral:lncRNA from 1 species